CCUACGGGAGGCAGCAGUAGGGAAUCUUCCACAAUGGACGAAAGUCUGAUGGAGCAACGCCGCGUGAGUGAAGAAGGGUUUCGGCUCGUAAAGCUCUGUUGGUAGUGAAGAAAGAUAGAGGUAGUAACUGGCCUUUAUUUGACGGUAAUUACUUAGAAAGUCACGGCUAACUACGUGCCAGCAGCCGAGGUAAGACGUAGGUGGCAAGCGUUGUCCGGAUUUAUUGGGCGUAAAGCGAGUGCAGGCGGUUCAAUAAGACUGAUGUGAAAGCCUUCGGCUCAACCGGAGAAUUGCAUCAGAAACUGUUGAACUGGAGUGCAGAAGAGGAGAGUGGAACUCCAUGUGUAGCGGUGGAAUGCGUAGAUAUAUGGAAGAACACCAGUGGCGAAGGCGGCUCUCUGGUCUGCAACUGACGCUGAGGCUCGAAAGCAUGGGUAGCGAACAGGAUUAGAUACCCGAGUAGUC
rnacentral:rRNA from 1 species